CCUCGUCCUCCCAUCCCCGCUCCCCCAUUCGUUCCGAAUCUCCCAUCCAUUCAUCCCCUGCCCCGGUCCUGCUCUCCCCGAUUCACAGCCUCAUUCAUCCACUCCCCUUGCACGCACCACUGCGAGCGCUGAGCUUCAGGGGUGAGCACGGCUCCGUCCCGCUGGCACACAGGGCUCACAUCUCCCCGAGAGGGCGCAGGGAGACACCUCAGGCCUGGAGCAGACGUGUGAGAGAGAGAGUGUGCGUGUGUGUGUGUCCCGGAUGAGUGUGUGGGUGCACACGCGAGCAGGUCUGUGAGUGUCACGGUGUGUGUGAAUGGGUGUGCAUGCGAGUGUGGGUUUGUGUGAACGCGUGUACACGAGUGUGAGUACAAUUGAGUGCACAGUGGGGUCUGAGUGAGUGUAGAUGGGGUGGGCACACGGGUGCUCACUACAGAGAACCCCCAUUGUCAGUCUCUCUCUCCAGGAUGCCGCUGGGGAUCCUAAGCCACAAGGCGGGGCCACACCAUGGAGCCCCAGCCCCUCGGAGCUCCAUCUUGUGUCUGCCAAUGACGCGCUGCCCCUGAGAUUUCCCUCUGCUGCUCCUGCUCGGCCCAUUCUUGCCUGGCCCUCGGUGGGUGACAUCCAGACGACUGGCAUUGCUCACGAGCGGUUCUGGGAGAUCCUUCCGCAUGCACAUAAUGAGAUACUGUGGCAGGGUACCUGGGUGAGCCGGGGAAUUUGUUUAUGGCUCUUGGACACACAGUCUGAAGCUGUGCCCCUCGUGGAGCGGACGCAAGCCACUUGUACCUCUGAUGAAAGUAUGAUGUUUUCUGCUAAAAACCAGUGGAUUUCAAUGCAAGUUUAUAAACACUAAGCUGAAUACUCUGAAGAACCCAGUAAAGGCAAGUUGCUAAAAACCAUACCGCCGCACAAAUAAAUAAAUAAAAACCAUAACCCAAACCAAACUGCUGUUGAAUAGUCUCUCUCUCUCUCUCUCUCUCUCUCUCUC